rnacentral:rRNA from 1 species
GACGAACGCUGGCGGCGUGCUUAACACAUGCAAGUCGAACGGAAAGGCCCUGCUUUUGUGGGGUGCUCGAGUGGCGAACGGGUGAGUAACACGUGAGUAACCUGCCCUUGACUUUGGGAUAACUUCAGGAAACUGGGUCUAAUACCGGAUAGGAGCUCCUGCUGCAUGGUGGGGGUUGGAAAGUUUCGGCGGUUGGGGAUGGACUCGCGGCUUAUCAGCUUGUUGGUGGGGUAGUGGCUUACCAAGGCUUUGACGGGUAGCCGGCCUGAGAGGGUGACCGGCCAAAUUGGGACUGAGAUACGGCCCAGACUCCUACGGGAGGCAGCAGUGGGGAAUAUUGCACAAUGGGCGGAAGCCUGAUGCAGCAACGCCGCGUGCGGGAUGACGGCCUUCGGGUUGUAAACCGCUUUCGCCUGUGACGAAGCGUGAGUGACGGUAAUGGGUAAAGAAGCACCGGCUAACUACGUG